CAAAGUGCUCAUAGUGCAGGUAGCUUUGAAUUGAACCUACUGUAAUGUGGGCACUUAUAGU
rnacentral:pre_miRNA from 1 species